rnacentral:rRNA from 1 species
GAUGAACGCUGGCGGCGUGCCUAAUACAUGCGAGUCGAGCGAACGGACGAGAAGCUUGCUUCUCUGAUGUUAGCGGCGGACGGGUGAGUAACACGUGGAUAACCUACCUAUAAGACUGGGAUAACUUCGGGAAACCGGAGCUAAUACCGGAUGAUAUUUUGAACCGCAUGGUUCAAAAGUGAAAGACGGUCUUGCUGUCACUUAUAGAUGGAUCCGCGCUGCAUUAGCUAGUUGGUAAGGUAACGGCUUACCAAGGCAACGAUGCAUAGCCGACCUGAGAGGGUGAUCGGCCACACUGGAACUGAGACACGGUCCAGACUCCUACGGGAGGCAGCAGUAGGGAAUCUUCCGCAAUGGGCGAAAGCCUGACGGAGCAACGCCGCGUGAGUGAUGAAGGUCUUCGGAUCGUAAAACUCUGUUAUUAGGGAAGAACAUAUGUGUAAGUAACUGUGCACAUCUUGACGGUACCUAAUCAGAAAGCCACGGCUAACUACGUG